UACAACUCUUUGACUAUCUAAACCUAGAACAAUCGCAUUAAAAUAGUAUUUGCGUGGUGUAGCGGCAAAGUCCCACACAACAACACGAAAUCUCCAUAAAAGUAUACAACUAUAACUUCAAGGAGCAAUAAAUCAACAAUAUUUCUACAAAUUCAUGGACUAAAUUCAUAUAUCUAUUAUCGUCAAGUCAUCGAAGAGAGUGCAUUGGUAUAGGUUGUGGAGUGUAGUUGAAAGGCUUCAUGAUUUUCAAGACGUCCUGAUCAUUCUUCCUGUGAUUUUGUUUAUCAUACAUAAAAGCUGGACCCAGUUUAAUCUUCUUUUAUACCACUUCAGAAGGACCACAAGCCUGACUCCAUAGCAAACAUGCCACUAUCAACGUUAGAACUCAGGCCGAAAAUCGACUACACCCAAAACACGUAUGGCGACCAGAAGUACAACAUCAUGCAUCUCAUCAGCAUUUGCAACCAAGACUCCACCCAAUCACCAUGGCAACAGUCAAAGGGGAGUGCCCAGAUCACCCAAAUACACAGCAUCAAACUCCCAACCUUGAACUCGUCGGGUUUCGCCAAUCAGAGCGGCGCUUUGUAUGCGUCAUCAUCGCAGCCACGCCUUAAUCUACCGAGCGUUGGGCGUGGCAUGGUCCACAGUACGCUGAUGCCGUUUUCUUCGUACGGCAAACCGACGUGCGGCUAUUUCUUCACAAGGACGACGGAGCAUCGAAAAAUGAGGAUGGGGAUUCCCCCUAAAUUUGGGUACCUGAACGUUUCUGCACCGCCUAUGAGAUAAAUCGUCUUAAAAAUGAACAUAUGAACAUAUCGAACAGAUGAUAAUAUUGUUUUUUGAAAUAUUUUCGCUUAAAAUUGUGUAUAUAAUGUACAUUGUUUUAUGAUGAAACAGCGUAUUAUGGCAUAAGAUGGUGUAGGCCAAUUUUUAACUAAGGUAUAUUUUUUCUUCAUUCCAAAUCUAUGAAGAUAUUUUGAUCAAAUUACCCGUCUUCACUCAUGGCCGUACGCAGGAAUUUCUUCCGGGGGGGGGGGGGCAAGAUGCGUAUUUUUUUGAAGAAAUUCCAAAGCGAGGAAGCGCAGCGGCCGAGACUCUCAUGGGGCACGUUUGCAUUUUCAAAAAUGAGAUUAAAAUAUUUCGUGCACUCUUUUUGGUAAUUUUUUGUUACAAAUUUUCAGUCAAAAUGUAAGUUUUCCAAAUUUCUGCACCCCCCCCCCCCCCCCGCUGCGUACGACCAUGUCUUGAUUGUUCUUUGGCUGUUUAUACGAGCAAAAUUGGGCAUAAUAAUUUCGUUCAGGACACUAAUAUGGUGGGGAGUAGUCUAUUAUCAACCUGGUAGGAGGUGGAUGCAAUACCAUAAUGCUAUGUUAGGCAAACACAGAGCAAAAUGCAUGUGACUUUUCUCUACUGUUCUUCUAUUCUACCUAUUCAAAACUAUAAAGACUUCUCAUUUUGAUGUUAUAUGAAGUAAAAAUUGACAAUCAUAAGAAAUUCUUCAUUGUAUUCUAUUGGCGAUGAUGAAAUUGGUAAGGCAAAAACAACGAAAAUAAUGGUGGUGGUGAUGAUGAUGUUAUCAAACUGUAUUAUUAUUGAUAAUAAUAAUAAUAAUAAUACUAAUGGUGAUAUUAAUAAUAAAUAAUGAUGAUAUAGUAAUUUUUUACAUGAUGAUAAUUAUAAUAAAGAUAAUAGUAAUGAUAGAAAGAAGAAUGAUAACAAUAAUUUUAUAUUUAUCGAAAUAAUGAUUAGAAUAGUUAUGGAAAUGGUGAUGAUGAUAAUAACUUAAGUGAUUAAUAUGUUUAUGUACAAAAUCCGUUUCUUAUGUAUAAAAUGCUAAUAUGCCAAAUCUUUAUUUAAAGUUGUGGGUUUUACCAUAUUCUUGUAAAUAAUGUCGGUGGAUGUUUUUUUUUAUGAAACCAUUUGUUUUCAUGUAUUUUCAACAAUAAAAUGAUGAUAGCAGUUUA